rnacentral:rRNA from 1 species
GACGAACGCUGGCGGCGCGCCUAACACAUGCAAGUCGAACGAGCGAGUGAGAGCUUGCUUUCUCAAGCGAGUGGCGAACGGGUGAGUAACGCGUGAGGAACCUGCCUCAAAGAGGGGGACAACAGUUGGAAACGACUGCUAAUACCGCAUAAGCCCACAGGUCGGCAUCGACCAGAGGGAAAAGGAGCAAUCCGCUUUGAGAUGGCCUCGCGUCCGAUUAGCUAGUUGGUGAGGUAACGGCCCACCAAGGCAACGAUCGGUAGCCGGACUGAGAGGUUGAACGGCCACAUUGGGACUGAGACACGGCCCAGACUCCUACGGGAGGCAGCAGUGGGGAAUAUUGCACAAUGGGGGAAACCCUGAUGCAGCGACGCCGCGUGGAGGAAGAAGGUCUUCGGAUUGUAAACUCCUGUUGUUGAGGAAGAUAAUGACGGUACUCAACAAGGAAGUGACGGCUAACUACGUG